CCUACGGGAGGCAGCAGUAGGGAAUAUUGCUCAAUGGGGGAAACCCUGAAGCAGCAACGCCGCGUGGAGGAUGAAGGUUUUCGGAUUGUAAACUCCUUUUGUUAGAGAAGAUAAUGACGGUAUCUAACGAAUAAGGAACGGCUAACUCCGUGCCAGCAGCCGCGGUAAUACGGAGGGUGCAAGCGUUACGCGGAAUCACUGGGCGUAAAGCGCGCGGAGGGGGGUUAGCAAGUCAGAUGUGAAAUCCUAUGGCUCAACCAUAGAACGCCAUUUGAAACUGUGAUUCUAGAGUAUGGGAGAGGUAGGUGGAAUGCUUGGUGUAGGGGUAAAAUGCGUAGAGAUCAAGAGGAAUACUGAUUGCGAAGGCGACCUGCUAGAACAUAACUGACGCUGAUGCGCGAAAGCGUGGGGAGCAAACAGGAUUAGAUACCCGAGUAGUC
rnacentral:rRNA from 1 species